rnacentral:miRNA from 1 species
ACUCGCUGAGGUCCUUUCUCC